rnacentral:rRNA from 1 species
CACAUGCAAGCGAACGCGGAAAGGGACUUCGGUCUGAGUAAAGUGGCGCACGGGUGAGUAACGCGUAGAUAACCUGUCUUCAUGUCUGGAAUAAUACGCCGAAAGGGUACUAAUACCGGAUAUUCUUGCUUUUUCAUAAGUUACGCAAGCAAAGGUGGCCUCUGCAUAUGCUACUGCAUGAAGAGGGGUCUGCGUACCAUUAGCUAGUAGGUGGGGUAAUGGCCUACCUAGGCGACGAUGGUUAGCGGGUCUGAGAGGAUGAUCCGCCACACUGGCACUGGAACACGGGCCAGACUCCUACGGGAGGCAGCAGUGAGGAAUAUUGCGCAAUGGGGGAAACCCUGACACAGCGACGCCGCGUGAGUGGAGGAAGGCCUUCGGGUCGUAAAGCUCUGUCAAGAGGAAAGAAGUGUACAAUGGCUAAUACCUGUUGUAUUUGACGGUACCUCUAAAGGAAGCACCGGCUAACUCCGUGCCAGCCGCCGC